UGGGGAAUCUUCCGCAAUGGACGAAAGUCUGACGGAGCAACGCCGCGUGAGUGAAGACGGCCCUCGGGUUGUAAAGCUCUGUGAUCCGGGACGAAAGAGCCUGAGGUGAAUAGCCUAAGGAAGUGACGGUACCGGAAAAGCAAGCCACGGCUAACUACGUGCCAGCAGCCGCGGUAAUACGUAGGUGGCAAGCGUUGUCCGGAAUUAUUGGGCGUAAAGCGCGCGCAGGCGGCUUCCUAAGUCCAUCUUAAAAGUGCGGGGCUUAACCCCGUGAUGGGAUGGAAACUGGGAAGCUGGAGUAUCGGAGAGGAAAGUGGAAUUCCUAGUGUGGCGGUGAAAUGCGUAGAGAUUAGGAAGAACACCGGUGGCGAAGGCGACUUUCUGGACGAAAACUGACGCUGAGGCGCGAAAGCGUGGGGAGCAAACAGG
rnacentral:rRNA from 1 species